CCUCUCCCUCCUCCUCCUCCUCCUCCUUCUCCUCCCCCCCACAGCCGCCCCCGCAACGCCCCCGCACCGCCGAGCCCGGCACCUCCGGGGUGGCAUCACCCCCCCCACCCCGCCUUCAUCCUCCUCCUCCUUUUCCCGGUCUCCCGGUUCCCCCCUUCCCGAUCUCCCCCCCUCCCCCCCCCCAUUCCAUUCCAUUCCCCGCGCCCCCGCCGCUAUUUAUAGCGCAGCGGCCGCCGGCCGGGCACACGCGUGUCCCUGCGUGCUCCGUGUGCGUGCACCGCGGCGGGAACGCUGCCUUUGGCAGAUUCCUUCCAUGAGAUGGCUUUGCUCACCCCUCCAUCUCUCCCAAUGACCAGGAGAUCACACUGAUGUACACCACCAGGCUGUGGAUGAUUCCUGAACAAGAGAUUACUCCGGGCACAUUGGCCAAACCAAAUAACCUACACUCCGUCUCUCAACAUAGACCUUGCACUGUAUCAUGGUAUCAGCUUUUCCGAGCUGCUCCAUCGGAUAAUCAAUACAGCUACAGUCAACACAGUUAAUACACUCAGAAUAGAUGCAGAUAAAUGCUGGGUUUCCAA